rnacentral:rRNA from 1 species
UACGUAGGGGGCUAGCGUUGUCCGGAAUCAUUGGGCGUAAAGAGCGUGUAGGCGGCUUGGUAAGUCCGCUGUGAAAGUCCAGGGCUCAACCCUGAAAUGCCGGUGGAAACUGUCGAGCUAGAGUCCGGAAGAGGCGAGUGGAAUUCCUGGUGUAGCGGUGAAAUGCGCAGAUAUCAGGAGGAACACCAAUGGCGAAGGCAGCUCGCUGGGACGGUACUGACGCUGAGACGCGAAAGCGUGGGGAGCAAACAGG